GACGAACGCUGGCGGCGUGCUUAACACAUGCAAGUCGAGCGGUAAGGCCCUUUCGGGGUACGACGAGCGGCGAACGGGUGAGUAACACGUGGGUGACCUGCCCUCAGCUCUGGGAUAAGCCUGGGAAACCGGGUCUAAUACUGGAUAUGACUCCAUGACGCAUGUUGUGGGGUGGAAAGCCUUGUGCGGCUGAGGAUGGGCCCGCGGCCUAUCAGCUUGUUGGUGGGGUGAGGCCUACCAAGGCGACGACGGGUAGCCGGCCUGAGAGGCGACCGGCCACACUGGGACUGAGACACGGCCCACGACUCCUACGGGAGGCAGCAGUGGGGAAUCUUGCGCAAUGGGCGAAAGCCUGACGCAGCGACGCCGCGUGAGGGAUGACGGCC
rnacentral:rRNA from 1 species